rnacentral:rRNA from 1 species
AGAAUCAACGCUGGCAGCGUGCCUAACACAUGCAAGUCGCACGAGAAAGGGACUUCGGUCCUGAGUACAGUGGCGCACGGGUGAGUAACACGUGAAUAAUCUACCUCCGAGUGGGGAAUAACUGAGAGAAAUCUUAGCUAAUACCGCAUAACACUUACGAGUCAAAGCAGCAAUGCGCUUGGAGAGGAGUUCGCGGCAGAUUAGUUAGUUGGCGGGGUAAUGGCCCACCAAGACGAUGAUCUGUA